UUUAAGACUUAUUUGCAACCUUUUGGUAUUAUUUUUAUUAUUCUUUUCCUAUAGGGAAAAAUCCGUCUGUGGAUAGCAUCGUCUGAGAAGUCUGAUGGAUGCUUAGUUUGACUUAAAGAUAAAAGGAUGCUUGAAACUCUGUUUGCCCAUCAUGGGCUUCAAUUCUUUUUAGUUUCCAGAGGCCAACUCCACUAGACUUCAACUACGAGUUGAAAAGCUAAGAUGUUACCUUCCAGAGCCAUUGGGAAGAAUAUUCCUGAAUUCGUGUUAAUCUUGGUAUCAUAGAAUCAGACAAGAAACUCAAGAAAAUCAGACAAUUCAACUGUGACUACAUCAUCCAAAAUGUUACUCCGGGAGAACUGGAAAGGCAGUGAAAUGCACUUUUGAAAGUUUAUGGAGAAAGACCAAUUCAAGCAAGUGAUUCAGAGAUUACAAGUAUCAUGAAAAACAGGAAAUGAGGAAGCAAGACUGUAAUGAAUCCUUAUAAAUGGGAUGGUAACAGAAGCCAAAGCAUGAGGGAUGUUGGAAAUUCAGUUCAACCCAGCAAGCUUCUGUUGAGUGCCACUACGUACAAGUUCCUGCUUGGUGCUGGGAAGGUUCAAAGAAAGCCAAUGCCCCUGUCCUUUGUCUUAGGUAGACAAUUUGGUCUUCUGUAUGGACAUGUUGAAAUCUUUUAGAACAUGCUGGAAAGAUGUUUCCUAAACUUCAGUCACUCCUCUGCCACUUCUAUAAUUCCCACUGUGAGCUACCUUUUAUUUGUUUGUUUGUUUGUUUUAGCCCAAAGGUUACUUAAAUAAAUUUAGCUUCAUCUUACA
rnacentral:lncRNA from 1 species